CAAGAAGAGACCCUAACCGGUCCUCUCAACCCUGCCCAUCGUACCUUUUUUGUUGUUCCCUCGGCGGUGCUCGCGGGCCCGCCGGCGGGAAGACCAAACAAACCCUUUGCAAACAAGCAUAUCGAAUCCCUGAUCAAACAUGAAUUGUCA
rnacentral:misc_RNA from 1 species